rnacentral:misc_RNA from 1 species
GAUGAAGAACGCAGCGAAAUGCGAUAAGUAGUGUGAAUUGCAGAAUUCAGUGAAUCAUCUAAUCUUUGAACGCACAUUGCGCCCCUUGGUAUUCCAUGGGGCAUGCCUGUUCGAGCGUCAUUUGUACCUUCAAGCUCUGCUUGGUGUUGGGUGUUUGUCUCGCCUCUGCGUGUAGACUCGCCUCAAAACAAUUGGCAGCCGGCGUAUUGAUUUCGGAGCGCAGUACAUCUCGCGCUUUGCACUCAUAACGACGACGUCCAAAAGUACAUUUUUACACUCUUGACCUCGGAUCAGGUAGGGAUACCCGCUGAACUUAAGCAUAUCAAUAAGCGGAGGA